rnacentral:rRNA from 1 species
CUGACCGUAAACGAUGCCAACUAGCGAUCCGCCGGUGGCUUUCUUGCCCUGGUGGGGAGCUUCCCGGAAACGAAAGUCUUCCGGUUCCGGGGGAAGUAUGGUUGCAAAGCUGAAACUUAAAGGAAUUGACGGAAGGGCACCACCAGGAGUGGAGCCUGCGGCUUAAUUUGACUCAACACGGGAAAACUCACCCGGCCCGGACACCGUAAGGAUUGACAGAUUGAUAGCUUUUUCAUGAUUCGGUGGUUGGUGGUGCAUGGCCGUUCUUAGUUCGUGGAUCGAUUUGUCUGGUUUAUUCCGAUAACGAGCGAGACUCCAGCCUACUAAAUAGUGUGAGCAUUGCCUCUGUGCUUGUCACUUCUUAGAGGGAUUGGCUGCGUCUAGCGGCACGAAACGGAGCAAUAACAGGUCUGUGAUGCCCUUAGAUGUCCGGGGCUGCACGCGCGCUACACUGGCAAAGGCAGCGUGCUUGUCCGUCUCCGAAAGGAGCCGGUAAACCCUUGAAAAUUUGCCGUGAUUGGGAUCGGAAAUUGCAAUUAUUUUCCGUGAACGAGGAAUUCCUAGUAAGUGCGAGUCAUCAGCUCGCGUUG